AAGGCUCUAUAUAAUUGACAGCUGUAUUAAAUGGGCUUAUAAUUAUGACGGUGGGAAAACAUUUAAACGCAGAAGAAAAUUUUGCAUUAGCUGCAUAAGCUACGUCCCUCAUACUUGUGCCUACCAAGUGUGAAUGGACGUCAAACAGUAGGCUGGUCUAAUUUAGUUGUUCAUAUGAAUUAGGCGAGACAAUAUGAACUGGGGUUGUGUAGCUUGUCUGUGAGCGAUAGCAACCCGAGAUCUCAAUCAUAGACUGUGCUCGGAGAAGUCUAUAUGGCAACACUCUUGGACAGGGGUUCGACUCCCCUCAUCUCCACCA
rnacentral:tmRNA from 1 species